UACGUAGGGGGCAAGCGUUGUCCGGAAUCAUUGGGCGUAAAGCGCGUGUAGGCGGGUCGGUAAGUCCGCUCUGAAAGCCCGGGGCUCAACCCCGGGAGGCGGGUGGAUACUGUCGACCUCGAGUCCGGAAGAGGCGAGUGGAAUUCCUGGUGUAGCGGUGAAAUGCGCAGAUAUCAGGAGGAACACCGAUGGCGAAGGCAGGUCUCUGGGCCACUACUGACGCUGAGAAGCGAAAGCAUGGGGAGCGAACAGG
rnacentral:rRNA from 1 species